rnacentral:rRNA from 1 species
GACGAACGCUGGCGGCGUGCUUAACACAUGCAAGUCGAACGGAAAGGCCCUGCUUUUGUGGGGUGCUCGAGUGGCGAACGGGUGAGUAACACGUGAGUAACCUGCCCUUGACUUUGGGAUAACUUCAGGAAACUGGGGCUAAUACCGGAUAGGAGCUCCUGCUGCAUGGUGGGGGUUGGAAAGUUUCGGCGGUUGGGGAUGGACUCGCGGCUUAUCAGCUUGUUGGUGGGGUAGUGGCUUACCAAGGCUUUGACGGGUAGCCGGCCUGAGAGGGUGACCGGCCACAUUGGGACUGAGGUACGGCGCAGACUCCUACGGGAGGCAGCAGUGGGGAAUAUUGCACAAUGGGCGGAAGCCUGAUGCAGCAACGCCGCGUGCGGGAUGACGGCCUUCGGGUUGUAAACCGCUUUCGCCUGUGACGAAGCGUGAGUGACGGUAAUGGGUAAAGAAGCACCGGCUAACUACGUG